UUCAAAGAGAUGGGGAAGACAAGAUCCCGCUCCUAACUCCCGCUAAGAAAAGCCCGUGAUCUAUGAGGCUGAAUAAAUAACCCCGAGUCCCUGUGGUGCGUGAGAGCAGCAUUCACCUCGCAGUUCAAGGGACAGCAAAGCUGCUUUGGCCUCAUCCUGCCUCCCCACUUGGGCAGCAUCCAAAAUUUCUCAGCAGAGGCUUGACCGCUGUUGCAGCCCUCGAUGGGUCCUGCCGGUCUCUUCAGGGGGCUUGGAGCAUCCCCACCUCUUUCACCCUCGGAUGGCAGUUUUUUGCUGUACCAUGUAUGAUGCUACAAAUAACAAGCAGGGAAAUUACACUUUAUUUAAGCCAGGAUUAAUGCCCACUCAUGGGUGGGAUUUUGCCUGGGGUGCUUGGCAUGGAGUUAUCCUUACAAGGUAAGGGCUUGCCCUUAGCCCUAAGCCAAAGGAGAGUGAAAUAUGGAAAAUUCAAGGGGUUUUCCCCACAGAUCAAGGGAUUGAAGUCCCACCUUGACGCCCAGCAGUGUUCCUUAGGAGAAGCCUGUCUUUAGCCUCUUCUGGGGCCUUCUAGCUCAGUUUUUCUCAAUGCAGGACUCAAAGGUGAGUUUUUUUCCCGCAAGGUAACGCCGUGCUCUCCAUCUGCAUCUGCAGCCCCAUCUGGGUUGUUGCUUCCUCCAAGUGUAUCACAUCUAGCCAAGGCUACUAGAACCAGGAGCAAACCCUCCUCCAUGAGCAAAUGGGAGUAAAAAUAAGGCUUUAGGGAGCAAAGCUUGUGGAGCUGGUGUAGGAAAGGGGGAUAGAGAUCCUGGGGGGUGUGGUGGUGGUGGUGGAGCAGUUUCUGGUCCACAGAGAUGUCUGCAACCCUGCUAUGAUGGCCGUAUGGACGAUGGCAGGAGCAGGGUGCUGAGCACCGGUAUUUCCCCUCUCAGCAUCUGGAUCCAACCGCUUGCUGCAUCAGAUCUGAGUGAAAACCCUGGGAAGUCACACCCAGACAUCUCAGCCUGCAUCUUGGCAGCCCUAAAACCAUCACUGAUGGCUGAACAUCAACACAACUCCUAUCAAAGAGAUACUCCUGCAUCCAGGGUUUCAUACGUCUAGCAAUGCGCAUCUCAGGAAAGCCUUGAUUCUAACUUUCUGCCUCUUAAAACAGUAGAAAAUUAGCCAAACAUCCCCAAAAGUCUUCCUGAAUGGCUUUUUCAUUCCUGGGGGAAGCAGGAGAGAGGAGUGAUGCUGGUCGGAGGUAAGCUCUGCACUGGGAGGUGCUCUUGGGAAACUCACGCUCUGCCCACUUAGAGCCAGUUGUAACAUGGGGGUAUCACCUUGGGGGAAAAAAAAAAAAAAAAAAAAAAAAAAAGACUUUUUAGGAAAACCGUGGCUUGUUAAGUUUUCUGGAGCUGGAGAGGUCUUGGUUCAAACACCCUGCACAGCUCCAGCGGGAAGGCAGGAGGGCAAUGCGAUCUAAAGCAGAGCUUUGAAAUAAAGCAGAAGGUGCUGGGUGAUGGGACCACUGAUUUACAGCCUGUAUUUUUUACGGCCAGGUCUCGGGGGUUUACAGUAGAGCCCCAAAGCAGCCAAAUUAAUUAGUAUAAUGAAAAACCCAAGGGCUGCUGGAGGUUGUUGCUAUGCAUCACCCCUUAAUUAAAGCCUAAAUCCCUUAUUCUGAUCAUGCAUAGGUGCACCUCCGCUGUCUGUAAUAUGAUUAACCUCAAUACCAGUGUAAGAGAGAACAAGAUAUGGCCCAAAGGAGGUGGAUAAGGAGAUUUUUAGCUCUUGCUGGAGUUCAAUUCAGGUCAAGCUGUCAGCAGGGACUGUGCUGGGUCUAAUAUUGCCCCCCCCCCCCCCUCCAAGCAGAUCCAGAAGAGGUAAAAGCAUUUGGCUCCUGGGCACAGAGGAGAUGCAGCGGGAUGUCGGGGUCACCAAGCAUCUGCACUGCCAUGGAGACUGGCAAGAAGCCUGGAUAUAACUGCAAAAGGGGGAGAUUGAUCCCAAACCAGACAAAAUCCAGAUAAAAAUCUUUCCGAGCACUACAGCAGUGUUGAAGCGCCUUCCCCUGGGUGGGAGGCUAAUUGCUCAUCCCAUGGAAAUGCUGCCUUUGGGGUUUUUUUUUUGCGAUCGAGAACAUCAGAGGAAUGGGAACUGCAAAAGGCAUUUGUGAACUGAAGCCAGGGAAUUUCUCAUGGCUUAAUAUAAAACAAACUCUUUCAUUCAUGAAACGUGUAUUUCUGCCAGGACUAGUUUUACAUCCACCUGUGCUUGUGUCACUUCGAGUUGUAAUUCUCUCCCAAAGACUGACUCAGCCUGAAUGUUUAUGUAUAUUAUAUAUGCCUGAGAAUAUAUACGCAUGUGACAGUGCUUGUAUAUAUUUGUGUCUUAAUAGCUAUGCAAAAUAUUAAAAUUUAAAGGGAGGAAAAGCACACCUGAAGAGUUAAAGCUUUACUAUAUAGGGAACUUAAUUUGAAUUAAGGGAAGGAGCUAGUUGAAAGCAGAAUUGCUCUCCCCAGGGAACUCCCUGCACUGAUGUUCCCUAUCUGAACUGGGAGCACUGGACUCGCGCCGUGAGAGGACCAGGACUGGUUGCAAUGCCGAGCUCCUCGCCGCUGCCUCGGUAGAGGCUGAUGAGAGCUGCCUUUGGUUUACAUCAGGCUUAUUUGCUGGACUUAGCAUGGCCACAUAGAAGGCUACACUGCGUGAAUUUGCCUUCAGCAAUUAACCAGAAGGAAAUUUACCCCAACUAGUAAACCUUAGAAGAGAGGGAAUUCGUUAAACAACUCUGUUUUGCAAGCACAGGGCUGAUUUUGCAAGUCAAAGAAGAUUUUAUUUUUUAAUUGUAUUUUCUUUAGUGGUUUUGCCAGGUGUAUGUCAUUUCUGAGCUCCAGCAGCUGAAUGCAACAGAGACAGGCGCUCAGCUUCCCCAGAUAUUGCUUCUUGUCCUUUAAUUCAGGAGAUUUGUGGACUCACAUGUGAUAUGACAACUUUGAAAGCAGGGAGUGGGGAACUUGAGGCUGAUGCUGAGCAUUGCUCACCACUGGGGUUUCGCAAAGAAAGGCAGAACCCUCUGCUUUCAAAGCAGAGAACAGAAAGUGCUACAUUAGGGACUUUUUUUGGCUUUCUUCUAGUCUUUCACAUGGUUUUCAGAUCCCUUUUUGAGGAAGGCAUGGCACAGGUGAAAGGCUUUCCAGCUGUUCAGGGCCAGCUGGCUGCAAGACCUGAACUUUCAUUUCCCAGUGCAAACCAGCAGCAUUCCCCUUCCUGGGGCUAGUUACUGGCCUGCUCACCUACUUCAUCCCAAACCAUGUACCAGUGGAGCUGUUUCAUCCCAAACCAUGUGCCAGAGGAGCUGCUUCAUCCCAAACCACAUACCAGGAGCUGCUUCAUCCCAAACUGUGUGCCAGAGGAGCUGCUUCAUCCCAAACCAUGUGCCAGGAGCUGCUUCAUCCCAAACCAUGUGCCAGGAGCUGGAGCUGCAUCCAUGCCCUCUUCUCUUGCUCCUGUAACAUCCUGCCUAUUCCCAGCCAGCUCUGCCUGAAUUCCCAUAGUGCAUGAAUAAAGCAAACCCCUCCAUCAUCAUCCUUGCAGAGCAAGGCAGGGCAGCUGAGGGGCUGAGGACGCCGGCACUGAUGUACCUCCAGGAAUUUCCCUUGGCUCAGGAGAUGACACGUGUGACAGCCAGCUGAAGGGCUGGAGCAUCAUGGCUACCUCCUCCUCCUCCGCAGCAGCAGUUUCCCCAAACCAGGAGCCACUGGCAGUCCAGUGCCUUGGAGAGGCUGAUGGCAACCAGAGGGCCCAAAAGCAACAACAUGUUCUUGACUGAUGGGGUUGGACCUACGUGCAACUGGAUGGUUCCUUGGGUGGGUUUGUGUGGCUUUCAGAGGGAGCAGGAUGCCACCCUUCCCUCUUGGCUGCUCCACUGUCUGCUGGUUUGUGCUUACAGACCCACUCCAAGAAUAAGCCCAACCAGAGGCUGCAGAAAACUUAUUUAAUUUUCCUUUACUUCACUUUUUUUUUGCAUUUCUUCUUCAGAUCAAUUUUCUUGGCCGUCUCUAAAGCCUGAUGCUGGUGGUGGCUUCCUCGGAGGCUGCUUUGCCAGCAGGGAGCAGAGGGAGUCUGCAACUGGCAGGCAGGCAUUACCUUGCUGCCUCCAAACAUCCCAGCUAUCAGAAGAUAAACCACAAUUCCUGGCAGCAAACGAUAGAAACUGAAAUGUUGUCCUCUUCAGGAAGCCCUCACUGCCUGUUUUCAGGGAUUCGUGGACCAUGCUGUGGGGAAAGGAGGGUGAAACUGAGGCUUAGCACCAGGACUGUCAUUAAAUCUUGUCCUCAGUGGGCUGACCUUGGUGGAGGGGCUGUUUUCCACCACCCUUUCUUUUGAGAAGCACUGUAGGGGGGAUAAAUAACAUGGUGCUUGACAGAAGGUCGAGGCAGGUCACCCUCUGGGACCUUUAGGGACCUUUAGGGAUGUGUUUCCCCAGGCAGCUCCAGCUGGAGCUGAGCCAAAGGCAACAGCAGGACCCAUCCCAUCCACAGCACGAUAUUUCCCCAAGCUCAGGCGAUUUUGGAGCACACACAUGGUUCAUUUGAGCCUGAGAUCACACCAGUGGAAUUCUGUAUUUGGGGUCCAAAAAAAAGCCAUGGUGCUGGGCUCUCGCACUUGGUUACUGAUGUUUCUCCUCUGGGUUAUGAACCUCAGCUUUGGGGUCAUCGCUCUGCUCUUUCAGCCUGAUGUUAGAGGGAAUCUCUUUACAAACACCUUAAAAUCCCAUUUUCUCUCCAUUUCUGGAGAGAAAAGUGGAUGAACGUUCCUAUUUUGAUGUAUUUUUGCAUGGGGAAGGAAAAGAGGUUACGCAAAGUGUCAUCCCAAAAGGAGCUGCAGACAGGACUGUGGCUGGGAGCACCAGGGCUGGGUUUCUCACAAUGUAAAACAACACGAAACCUCUCUGCUGAAGCCAGCAGCAAAAAAGAGAGCUUCUUAUAUUUUCUUAACCCUUUUCCCCUCUGCUUUUUUUCUUGGGGAAAAAAAAAAAAGAAAAAAGAAAAAAGAAAAGAUGCAUUAGGGCCCAGGGCAAGCCCAGAGCUCUCCAGCCCCAAAGCUCAGCCCUCUCCUAAGCAGCCCCAAACGGGAUUUUUUUUAUAAUGGGUUUAUAAUGUUAGCUGUUAUCCUUGCAGGCAAUCUGCAGCGAGGUUUCGGUGUGCCUCUGCAUGUGUUUAUCACAUUACUUGUAAUUACCAAGCUUUAUUUUCCAGGUGGGGAAACUGAGGCACCGAACUCGAGCUAUUUCCAGGUCAAUACAGAGGUCCGGCUGCCCCGCUGAGCAGCCAGUCUGAUGGGGCUUGUUGUGUGUUGUUGAUGAGGAUGUGCAUUAAUUUAGGAAUUUAAUAUUUAGGGAUUAUAGCUCAUUGGUAGCCUGGAUGGCAAGUGCUUCUCUUUCCCCAUCCCAGCUGCCCUGGGAAAGUCCAUCACAGGCUUCCCUGUGAGCAUCCCGUGGGCUAUACUACCCUCGGGCUUUGGAAAUGCUCCCACGGGAGAAAACAAUUCCCACCUGCUCCUGAGCACACUGGUAAGCCUCCGUUUUCAAAUCCAGAAAGAAAAUAAAAAUCACAAAUCACGCCCUGGAGAAUAUUGAUGCUGACCCAUGUCACUUUGGGACAAAAAGGGCAAGAUGAAAAACCCGCCUGUAUUUGAUGGGUUUGAAAUGUGCCUGUUUAUACAGGGAUGCACACACGUAACGUGUGUGUUAGGGAAAGCCUUGGAUGGUGUAAAUCCUCCUGCAAGCAUGCUCCUGCACUUCAGGGCUUGCCAAGGGGGGUGAGGGGAUGGCUUAGAUACACCUUUCAAGUCGGGGAACCCAGAAAAUUAAGCUUUGCCCCAGGGAAAUGAAAAAGAGCUAGAAUCUAUUAAAAAAAAAAAAAAAAAAAAAAAAGAAAAGGAAAAAAACUUGGCCAAAUCACUGCUCGGGAUUAAAAUAUUAUAUUAAAUCAUUCGCUGAGUGUAGCUGUGUUGUGCAAGCUCUGAAAGGCAUUUUUCAGCGUUGAUGGCUUUCCCAUGGCGAUUUGUAUAAAUAUUUUUUUCCCUUUGCAGUGUAGCGGUUGGGAUGGCUGUGUUUGACUUCAUCGGGGUUGUGUGGAGCUUGGCGACGAGAGGUUUUAGGAACUUUUUAGCAGCUCAUCCCGUUGCCCUGAAUUCAGCUCACCCCCAAACCCCAGCACAUUAUUUUCAGGUGCGAAAAAACCCCACAACCCAGCAAAAUGUUCAUUUCAAGAGCCACAAGGGAGGGGGGGGGCGGGAAAAGCCUGAGGAGGAAAACAACGGUUUGGCCAUUGGAUUUUCUCCUGGCAUCUCCUAGGAGAGAGGCAUGGGAUGGAUGUUCUUCAUCUGAAGGGCUGCACUGCCAUCUCCAGGUCUGCCUGCAGAGCCCAAGAGACACGUCUGUAAGCUCAGACAUCACCCCCGGUUAAUUCUGCGGUGGCUUGGCAAAGACAAGCAUCAAAAUAUUUGUGUCGAGCAGGUUUUUUUAACUAAAGCCCCUCUCAUCUUCUUUCCCCUGUAAGAAUUUAUCACUGAAAAAAAAAAUAAUAAAUCCAGCCUGGUCAUUUUGCUUCAGCAAAUGCAACGUGUGGAUGCUGGCAGUGACAGUAGGAUGCAGUGAUGCACCAGCAGACGGCUCCCAUCCCUUUCUGCGUCCCCAAAUCUUGGGGAAAAUCAGCCAUUCCCAUAAGAAUUGCAAUUUUUUAUGAUUUUCCUUUUUUUUCUGGGUGCAGGAAGUCCUGGUGUGAUGUGCUCCUUCUCCUCUGGUAUCACCACCUUCAAAUAGGGAUGUCCCGCCAGGGUCACACACAUCUGCUGCGCUCCAGGCAAGGCACUGCUGCUGCGAGAGGGUCUGGAUGAGGCCCGAGAGCAUCCAUCGGUCCAUCCACACACCGGGCAGGGCUGCAGCAUCUCAGCAUACCCAUGAGAUGGCACUGGAGCCGCAGUGUUGAUGCCAGCCCUGGGCAGGUGCUCCAGCUUGGAUUUGGUGGGCAGAGUUGUCUCAUUUUGGGGAAAAAAAUAAAUUUGGAAAAAAAAAAAAAA